UGAGAUGUAGUUUAAGUAGUAGAGCAUCUGCCUAGCAAGUGUAAGGCCCUGAGUUCAAACCCCAGUAUCACAA
rnacentral:tRNA from 1 species